AGAAUAUUGCACAAUGGGCGAAAGCCUGAUGCAGCCAUGCCGCGUGUAUGAAGAAGGCCUUCGGGUUGUAAAGUACUUUCAGCGAGGAGGAAAGGUAGGUAGUUAAUAACUGCUUACUGUGACGUUACUCGCAGAAGAAGCACCGGCUAACUUCGUGCCAGCAGCCGCGGUAAUACGAGGGGUGCAAGCGUUAAUCGGAAUUACUGGGCGUAAAGCGUACGCAGGCGGUUUGUUAAGCAAGAUGUGAAAGCCCCGGGCUCAACCUGGGAACUGCAUUUUGAACUGGCAAACUAGAGUCUUGUAGAGGGGGGUAGAAUUUCAGGUGUAGCGGUGAAAUGCGUAGAGAUCUGAAGGAAUACCGGUGGCGAAGCGGCCCCCUGGACAAAGACUGACGCUCAAGUACGAAAGCGUGGGGAGCAAACAGGAUUAGAUACCCUGGUAGUCCACGCCGUAAACGAUGUCUACUCUGAGGUUGGGCUGAGACUGGUCUAGCUAGCUAAUGCGCUGAGUAGUCCGCCAGGUGAGUAAUGAUGCAAGGUUAACACUCCUUUGUAUCUCACCAACUCUUUGUCAAUC
rnacentral:rRNA from 1 species